rnacentral:rRNA from 1 species
GACGAACGCUGGCGGCGUGCCUAAUACAUGCAAGUAGAACGCACAGGAUGCACCGUAGUUUACUACACCGUAUUCUGUGAGUUGCGAACGGGUGAGUAACGCGUAGGUAACCUGCCUGGUAGCGGGGGAUAACUAUUGGAAACGAUAGCUAAUACCGCAUAAGAACAUUUACUGCAUGGUAGAUGUUUAAAAGGUGCAAGAGCAUCACUACCAGAUGGACCUGCGUUGUAUUAGCUAGUUGGUGAGGUAACGGCUCACCAAGGCAACGAUACAUAGCCGACCUGAGAGGGUGAUCGGCCACACUGGGACUGAGACACGGCCCAGACUCCUACGGGAGGCAGCAGUAGGGAAUCUUCGGCAAUGGGGGAAACCCUGACCGAGCAACGCCGCGUGAGUGAAGAAGGUUUUCGGAUCGUAAAGCUCUGUUGUUAAGGAAGAACGUGUGUGAGAGUGGAAAGUUCACACAGUGACGGUACUUAACCAGAAAGGGACGGCUAACUACGUGCCAGCAGCCGCGGUAAUACGUAGGUCUCGAGCGUUGUCCGGAUUUAUUGGGCGUAAAGCGAGCGCAGGCGGUUAGAUAAGUCUGAAGUGAAAGGCAGUGGCUCAACCAUUGUAGGCUUUGGAAACUGUUUAACUUGAGUGCAGAAGGGGAGAGUGGAAUUCCAUGUGUAGCGGUGAAAUGCGUAGAUAUAUGGAGGAACACCGGUGGCGAAAGCGGCUCUCUGGUCUGUAACUGACGCUGAGGCUCGAAAGCGUGGGGAGCGAACAGG